UACGGAGGGUGCAAGCGUUAUCCGGAUUCACUGGGUUUAAAGGGUGCGUAGGUGGCUUUGUAAGUCAGUGGUGAAAGCCCGGAGCUCAACUCCGGAACUGCCAUUGAUACUGCUUAGCUUGAAUCACGUCGAGGUGGAUGGAAUAAUACAUGUAGCGGUGAAAUGCUUAGAUAUGUAUUAGAACACCGAUUGCGAAGGCAGUUCACUAGGCGUGUAUUGACACUGAGGCACGAAAGCGUGGGGGAUCAAACAGG
rnacentral:rRNA from 1 species